rnacentral:rRNA from 1 species
UACAGAGGGGGCAAGCGUUGUUCGGAAUUACUGGGCGUAAAGGGCGCGUAGGCGGCCUUCUAAGUCGAACGUGAAAUCCCCGGGCUCAACCCGGGAACUGCGUCCGAUACUGGAAGGCUUGAAUCCGGGAGAGGGAUGCGGAAUUCCAGGUGUAGCGGUGAAAUGCGUAGAUAUCUGGAGGAACACCGGUGGCGAAGGCGGCUUUCUGGGACGGUACUGACGCUGAGACGCGAAAGCGUGGGGAGCGAACAGG